ensembl:lncRNA
AGGAGAGGUGCCUCUUAUCUGGCGAGUUCAGAAGAUUUCCGUGAGAAUCCCUCAAGAAAUGCCUGAAAAGAAGCCUUGGAAUGAGUCGAAAUCCCACAGGAAUUAUCUGCAAGAGGUAUCCUGUAUUUGGGAGGCCUGGAGAGCACCCUUUGUGUCUGUUCUUCAGCUUUUUCCAGCAGGCAGCUAAAUGGGGGUCUCGGAGCCUGGCAAACGUUGAGUAAAGGUGAUGGGAGAACAAAGGGCCAAACAAGCCGACUCUCUUUGGAGUCAGGUAUCAAGAGGAUAACCAUCGUUGUGUCAAAGGGAGCCACCACUGGUCGACACAAAAGAAUGACUGACAGCAGAAAAGAGGAUGGGGUUUCAGAGCCUGGGCAUGAAAAGGAAAACAUCAUUCUCCAUCUUUUUUGUUCACAGGCAGUGAAAGGCCCCUUAUGCGGGUCAUAGUGUGACACCACUAGAGGAAUUUGCACUCUGAAACGGCCACUAUAUUGAGUGAUUGGAUCCAUUUGUGUCUUUUAAUUGAAAGAGCCGUUUUUUUUUUGAUGAGUCAAGGGUCAAGGCUGAAUCAGUGAGGGCGGCCGCUCAAAACCAAAACAAAAACAACACUUGUCAUCGCUUUUAUCGCAGCUGAUCCACCUUUGUGUUUGCGGGUGGCUUAAGCGGCCCAGAUGCAAGCUUGGAAUCAUGCCGGGCUUGUGAUGCCCCCAUCGCGAAUGACUUUUGUGUGCGGGGAGGUUAUCUGUCGGCCUCUUUCAAAGGUGGAGGACAGACAAUAGGCUUUCGUGCCAUGCGAAGAGAGUGUCCCUCCCUCAGCAUGCAAGGCUUGGUUCAUGAACACAGCACAAAGGAAUGAGAUCCCCACCUCAUCCCAGACUGGAUUAACAUAGACGCACAUAUACACAACACAUAUGCACGCAUAAUAGGUCUAAUUUGUUUGUUUACGAUGUUCUGUUGCCAAUGGCUGAUUGUAACCACAACACAAGAGCUAAUCAGACACUUUCUGCUACAAGUCAUGCCAUACCAGCAUAUAAGUCAGACGUAGAGCUAAAAUAUGAUUUGAAAAUAGAAUUAUGCAUUUCUGAGUGCUAAUC